UGUGUGUCUGUGUGGCUCUGCUGCUGAUUGGAGGAUUUGCACUGAUGAUCUACAAACUGAGAUGCAAGAGAAUACAAGAUUAUACUCCUUCAUCCAAGAGGAGAGACAAUAAUCCAGUUACUUCUGAUUUUAACACUGAUUCAGCUCAUUUGUAUGAAAACAUCAGAUUGAACUAAAUAUGAACCUGCACCAGUACACAAAUCAGACUUCCUGUUUGAGCUGUUGAACUCUGUUAUUCUUAAUGUUCUGAGUUGAAUCGUAGUGGCUCAAGUCCCAACGCUGUAGUGUGUCUCUCUUCACUUCUUUAUAGGACAUGCUAGUUCAAUCACAGGCACAGUUUCUGGAGGACAGCUAGCCAUUU